rfam:Brassica napus, WGS project CCCW01000000 data, contig: 25302
AGAAUAUAAGAAUCCGUCUCUUAACUUUUAACUGAAAAAAUUAAGAAUUAAUUUUUAAAUAAGAGUUUUAAGAGCCGGUUCUUAACUUUUUUAGUUAAAAAUUAAAAGACAGGUUCUUAUAUUCU